CCUACGGGCGACAGCAGUGAGGAAUAUUGGUCAAUGGGCUUACGCCUGAACCAGCCAAGUCGCGUGAGGGAAGACUGCCCUAUGGGUUGUAAACCUCUUUUGUCAGGGAGCAAUUGGCGCUACGUGUAGCGUUAUCGAGAGUACCUGAAGAAAAAGCAUCGGCUAACUCCGUGCCAGCAGCCGCGGUAAUACGGAGGAUGCGAGCGUUAUCCGGAUUUAUUGGGUUUAAAGGGUGCGUAGGCGGAAUGCCAAGUCAGCGGUAAAAUCGCGGGGCUCAACCUCGCUCCGCCGUUGAAACUGGCGUGCUUGAGUGGGCGAGAAGUAUGCGGAAUUCGUGGUGUAGCGGUGAAAUGCAUAGAUAUCACGCAGAACUCCGAUUGCGAAGGCAGCAUACCGGCGCCCAACUGACGCUGAAGCACGAAAGCGUGGGUAUCGAACAGGAUUAGAUACCCGUGUAGUC
rnacentral:rRNA from 1 species